UUAUUGUAUCAUAAUUUUAAUUCAGAAUUAGUAUCUUUCAUGUCUAUUAAAGUAAUCUUCUUGAUUCAAAAUUGGUAAAUUGUUCAACGCUUCGGUGAAUUUCAACUAUACCAAUGCUUUUACUAUAUCCAGGCAUUGAUACACUAUUUUUAAUGUUAUCUCAUCACGUCUUAUGAAGUAUCUUUCUUUAAUUGUGAGUUGAAGAUCUCGACGAGCCGUUAAUUUUCCCCUGACAUCUCGAAGAUGAUAAAAACACAAAAAUAAUAUUACAUGGCAGUAAACAACAGACGGAACAUAAAUCAAGUUACCCAUUCUGGGUAGCCUUGUCAGUUCUGUUGGAAGUAAAGUAAAGGGAUAGUAGAAAAAAACAUCUCGAAUGAUAAGAUUUUUACACGUCGCUAUCAAACCAACUCUCUGACGCAUUCUGUUGAAAACUGUCUGUUCUUCUAAACUGUAACGAUCGUCUGAAAUAUAGCUCGCUAUUUUAUGUGGAGUACACUUAGAUAAGCAGUAAUUUAUUAUAUAAAUGCAUUCUUUGAAACGUUUACAUUGAUACAAUGAUGAUGCAAACAAUAUCCAAGAGUUCAAUACAUCGGAAGAUAGCCCAAGCUUGACGGAACCAAACAUGAUAUGGUUUUGUCUGUAGAAAGAUUUGUUACUUAUAGUUAAGUUCCUAGAAUGAUGUGCUUGUGUGUAGGGGUUUGACACCAAAGACAUCAUAUAUUUACAUAAUUCCUGGUCUGGAAAAUUAAUACAGCAUGUUAAAGCGCGGUUUAGUUUAUCCCAUAUAUAUCCUAGAAAAAUAUUAAUUUUCAAAAAACAUAAACUGAGACAUGGCAAUACGGAAACUGCCAGUUCGAACCCGUAUGAAUUUCUAGAAUCCAACCUAUGCUGUUGAAAUAUCGACGUAUUAAAAAUGGCAGUCCAUGGUGACAUAUAUAUAAGCUGCAACGAAUUCAGUAAUGUUACUUGUUGGUCAUCAGUGAAUCGAUCCUCAAAUAAGUUGUUAUCUGGUAUGAAAUAAUGAAGACAUGUUUUGUAUUUAACACAGUAAAUCAAUCGUCUAAAACAGUUUAGAAAACAAGACAAAAAUGAUUUGGGUUUCCAGUCUGAAGGACAUGACUCUUCACUUAACCAAAACAUUAUUGUUUUAAGGAAAUAUGAACAAAUU
rnacentral:lncRNA from 1 species